UACGUAGGAGGCAAGCGUUGUCCGGAAUCAUACGUGGGCGUAAAGCGGCGUUGUAAGGUGGAAGAGGAAGUUCUGCUGUGAAAGCGCCUGGCUUAACCGGGCGAGGUCGGGUGGAAACUCCUCAUCUCGAGGUCGGUAGAGGGGGGUGGAAUUCCGGGUGUAGCGGUGAAAUGCGCAGAUAUCAGGAGGAACACCGGUGGCGAAGGCGGGUCUCUGGGCCGAUACUGACGCUGAGGAGCGAAAGCGUGGGGAGCGGAACAGG
rnacentral:rRNA from 1 species